CUCGAUCUCCUGACCUCGUGAUCCGCCUGUCUCGGCCUCCCAAAGUGCUGGGAUUACAGGUUGUGAGCCACUGCGCCUGGCCUCCAGAUUGUAUUUGUCACAGACAUUAGAACGUUGGUCCUUUGCUUAAGUGCUUCCACUAUGCAGCAGUAAAUAUACAGAGUACAAAUAGCUGAGUAAAGAAGUCGGUAAUAAGUAAUUUUCGUUACCACAUAAUUGAAAAAAGAACAUACUCCAUUGAUGAUGAAUGAACAAUUUGCCUCUGGGUCACUAUCCAUAGGGAAGUUACCUGUUACUUAGUGUGGUAGAUUAAGACCCAUAAAGGGGACCGAGUUGCUUUUCACAUGGGUAAGUGUGGCAGGUGCCCUAUUAGAUGAUGGCCUCAGAAGCAUGCUUGUUAAAAUUCUAAUUGAUAUUAACUGGGUCAGUAGAUUGGGAAUGUUUGGCACAUACUCUCUGCUUUUUUAACUUGAUGUCAUGAAGGACUACAGUUAUUUUGCACAGAAUGUUUUCCAUUGUCACAGCUAUUUAGUAUUUAUUGAGCAGCCAAUAUGUUAUUGGGAUAUGUGUAUAUAUCUCAUUUAAUCCUUACCAUAACCCUGUGAGCAGAUGACACUGCUCCUAUUUUAUAUCUGAGGAAACUGAGGCUCAGAGAAGUUAAGUGAUCUUUGCAGGAUCAGUGAGAGGCUUGGGACCCAGAUCUGCCUCUGAAGCCCCUGCACUUUUUCACUACUUUGUGCCCUUAGGACAAUAAGUUCAACUACACAUGGAGUUUUUAAUAUUUUUAGUGAGUUGUGUGUACUCUGAUGACAAG
rnacentral:lncRNA from 10 species